GAGCACAACGCACUGGUUCUUUAUAGAAGAGAUGGCACUGUUGUACCAUUUGAUGGUUCUUUUGAUCCAAUUAAGAAACGUAAAGCGCGACCUAAAGUUGACCUUGAUCAAGAGACUGAUAGAGUAUGGAAGCUUCUGCUGGAAAAUAUAAACAGUGAAGGUAUUAAUGGCACAGAUGAGGAGAAAGAAAAAUGGUGGGAACAAGAGCGUAAAGUGUUCCGUGGACGUGCAGACAAUUUUAUUUCACGAAUGCAUCUUGUGCAAGGUACAAAUUCUUCCAUUUUCAGGGGAAUUCAUAUUAAACAAGUCAUUUCAAAUCUUAUCUCAUGCAAUACAGUUCUACAUACUGCAAGCUACUCAAGGAAAAAGAAUAUGCAUUCUGUACGUUCAUGUACUGACCAUCAUGCUAGUCGCAAGCACCUUGGGAACCCUUAUGCAUAUACAUACAAAUACAAUGCUAUUCUUCAAUUUUAGAUAUAAGUUACAACUUCAUAUUCUAACAGUAUAAUAUUACUUUAACAGGAGAUAGACGCUUCUCUCCGUGGAAGGGAUCAGUUGUGGACUCAGUGGUUGGAGUUUUCCUUACUCAAAAUGUUUCAGACCACCUGUCUAGGUAAAGUAACGUUUCUAUAUACAACUAGAGAAUUUGACAUUAGAUAAAUUACAAGUGAGAAAUUCUCUAAUAUGUACCUCCUUACAGCUCUGCGUUCAUGUCAAUGGCUGCACAUUUUCCCCUGAAGUCAAGGAGCAACGAAAUAUCAUGCGAUGAAGAAGUUGCGAGCUUGGUCGUAGAUGAACCAGAAGUAUGCAUUAGUGAGAAUUCA
rnacentral:lncRNA from 1 species